AUGACUCUUUUUGCACAUUUUAAAGAAAGUCACAUGACCAGAAGGGCUUGGGGGCCAGGCCUCCCUGGAGCAGCAGAUCCCAGUAGGGGUUGCUGGGCCACCAGAAACAUUGGCUGGGAGUCUGUUGCUGACUGA
rnacentral:lncRNA from 1 species